UACGUAGGGGGCAAGCGUUUGUCCGGAUUUAUUGGGCGUAAAGCGCGUGUAGGCGGCUUGGCAAGUCCGCUGUGAAAACUGGAGGCUCAACCUCCAGACGUCGACGGAAACCGUGUGGCUAGAGUCCGGAAGAGGAGAGUGGAAUUCCACGUGUAGCAGUGAAAUGCGUAGAGAUGUGGAGGAACACCGAUGGCGAAGGCAGCCCCCCUGGGGUAACACUGACGCUCAUGCACGAAAGCGUGGGGAGCAAACAGG
rnacentral:rRNA from 1 species